rnacentral:Y_RNA from 1 species
AGUUGGUCCGAAAGCUGUGGGUUAUCAUAUCUGUCUCCCCCCACAACCAUGUUCGACUAACUUGUG